GCGAAGCAAUUGAGCUUCGCAAGCGAAGCGAGCGAAGCGAAAUUGUGGAGCACGUUUGCUACGCGAAGUAUACCAAAAGAAUUAUUGAGAUUCUCAAAAUUUCGAUAGAAAAGAAAUCAUAUAAAAUCAGCUUAAGGAGAUAUGACUGAUAUUUUUUCUCGAAAAGGUAGGUUAUUUUUUUGUCUAAUAGAACAAAUAAGUUUGGACCAAGCAGCUCUUAUAAAUGUUAGCUAAAAAUGCCAGUAAAUAGGCUUUGUACCCCCCUACCCCCGUCUUUCGUACCCCCCCGUUAUUUCCCGAUUUUCCGUUUGCCGGAAGCGAAAGACUGGGAAGUAAACUCAAGCAAUCAGAAAACGGCUAUCGGCUAAAUUGAAUUAUCGUGUAUUUUACAGACCUAAGAAAAAUACAUAGUUUAUACCAAGUCCUGAUAAUAAUUGGCUUAGCUGGCAUGCUAUUUCUCUUAAUAUUUGCACUUGGAAAGCUUGUAUUUACCUUUUGAAGGCACAUUAUAUUAAUUUGAACGUUUAAUGCGCAAAAACGUGUUAUAUUUAUGGCUUCAUUAAAAAGAAGAUUUUAAAGUACUAAAUUAUCAGCUUGAAUUGGCAUGUUUGUGGUAUUCUUUUCAUACAGCAGAAGAAAAGUGAGUUGCGCAGAUUGCGUACAAUGAGCGAGAGAUGGUAUCUUUCAAUAUGUGAGAUAAAAAGAAGAAAGCGAAACCUCAUCCCGCGUUGUUAUUGUUUUUCUGUCAAAAACUUGAAGCUGUUUUAUAAAUCUUGAUAAAGUUAAUAAAUUGUUUUCGUUUCUAUA